rnacentral:rRNA from 1 species
AACGAACGCUGGCGGCGUGCUUAACACAUGCAAGUCGAACGUGAAAGGCUUCGGCCGAGUAAAGUGGCGCACGGGUGAGUAACGCGUGGGUAAUCUGCCCUUGGGCGGGGGAUAACCUCUCGAAAGGGGGGCUAAUACCGCAUGAGACCACGGCUUCUCGGGGCUGUGGGAAAAGGUGGGUCGCAAGGCCUGCCACCUGAGGAUGAGCCCGCGUACCAUUAGGUUGUUGGUGGGGUAAUGGCCUACCAAGCCGAAGAUGGUUAGCUGGUCUGAGAGGACGAUCAGCCACACUGGGACUGAGACACGGCCCAGACUCCUACGGGAGGCAGCAGUGGGGAAUAUUGCGCAAUGGGGGAAACCCUGACGCAGCAACGCCGCGUGUGUGAAGAAGGCCUUCGGUCGUAAG